rnacentral:lncRNA from 1 species
CGUAUUCUAACAUCACCUUAGUUGGCGUAGUAUUGCUACUACUUUUUUUUGAUCUAAUAGUAUUGUUACUACUGAGGUUGAGUGUAUGAAGUAUGUGAUGAUGUUGCAGAUGGGAAGGCACGAGGAACUCGUACAGAAAGGGGGCCUAUAUUCUCAUCUUGUAAAGUUACAAUCCAGCUUCAUCACUUGACAGAGAGGGUUCAAUUAGUGGAUAUGGAGAGCACGCUCUAGAGGCUCGGUGGAGAAGUCUCCAAGCUGAGGAACUUGUUGAUGAGGAAGCCCUUUCACUGCGGCUGCUUCUCCCUCUUGCUUUUCCUCCGCCGCCGCGUCGUCAACCACCCCUUCCACUUCCUUGUG